AUCUUCUCAUUGAACGCCUUUCUGUCAACCAAUGAUAGAUUAUGGAUCAGCACGAGAAGAAGAGAGAAUUCACAGAACUGACACUUAUCUUCUGUUUUUGCAGAAGUAUAUUUGGCUGUUGUGUGAGACAUUC
ensembl:snoRNA Gm22972 small nucleolar RNA SNORA75